rnacentral:tRNA from 2 species
AAGCCUGUGACGCAGUGGUUAGCGUGUCGUUCUUAUAAUGCGAAAGUCGCGAGUUCAAGUCUCGCCAGGAUCA